UGGGGAAUUUUGCACAAUGGGGGAAACCCUGAUGCAGCGACGCCGCGUGAUUUAGAAGGCCUUCGGGUUGUAAAAAUCUUUUCUAUGGGAAGAAAAUGACAGUACCAUAGGAAUAAGGACUGGCUAAUUACGUGCCAGCAGCCGCGGUAAUACGUAAGGUCCGAGCGUUGUCCGGAAUCAUUGGGCGUAAAGGGUACGUAGGCGGGUAAGCAAGUUAGAAGUGAAAUCCUAUAGCUCAACUAUAGUAAGCUUUUAAAACUGCUCAUCUUGAGGUAUGGAAGGGAAGGUGGAAUUCCUAGUGUAGCGGUGAAAUGCGCAGAUAUUAGGAGGAAUACCGGUGGCGAAGGCGACUUUCUGGCCAUAACCUGACGCUGAGGUACGAAAGCGUGGGUAGCAAACAGG
rnacentral:rRNA from 1 species